GUGGAGGAGGGGAAGGUACUCGCUGGCUGCUCAGGCUGGCUUUUAUCGGUCACUGAGUGGAGCGCAGGGCCCGGCAGCGCUUGGCUCCUCUCUGCUAGUGAAGCUUUUUCACUGUGAGGCAAGCACAUAAAUGAGAGGGCCUGGGAUGUGGCACACAGGCGAAAACCUUUCCCCCAGGGAAAGUGGCCUGUUGGGAAGGGAUGUUUGUUUUCAAGUCUGCUCUGCAGUUGUCUCCUCUGACAUCUGUGCUGCAUCUCCCAGCAAGGGAUGAAGCCGGAUGGUGGCUGGCUGUCAGGAGCCCCGGAGAAGUGUGGAUUACAAUCUGACUUCAACACUGAAGCAGCUGCUGGUUCGAAUUUGGACUGACAUUCAAGGUGUAUCAGAAGUACUGUUCACCUUCAGAGAGAUUUCCAGGAUGUAUGAAAUCAAGUGCUGUGUCAUGCAGCUGACAGGUCUACUGGUGAAGCUGAGGGUCACAGCCAGGGCAGAAAUUCUUUAAACAAAACAGAGUCAAAUAAUCAGGGAAGUUUGGAGCUAUUUGCAAGAUCUAUCAAGUUGGUUGCUCACCCUGUCAAAAGAAGCCACCAUCUGGGACAACA
rnacentral:lncRNA from 1 species